rnacentral:rRNA from 1 species
AACGAACGCUGGCGGCGUGCCUAACACAUGCAAGUCGAACGAGAAAGUCCCGCAAGGGAUGAGUAAAGUGGCGCACGGGUGAGUAACACGUAGGUAACCUGCCUCUAAGACCGGGAUAACCUGUCGAACGACGGGAUAAUACCAGAUAAGACCACAGUUCCUUCGGGAAUAGGGGGCAAAGGUGGCCUCUGCUUGCAAGCUAUCACUUAGGGAUGGGCCUGCGCACCAUUAGCUAGUUGGUAGGGUAAUGGCCUACCAAGGCAAAGAUGGUUAGCUGGUCUGAGAGGAUGAUCAGCCACACUGGGACUGAAACACGGCCCAGACUCCUACGGGAGGCAGCAGUGGGGAAUAUUGGGCAAUGGGCGAAAGCUUGACCCAGCAACGCCGCGUGGGUGAUGAAGGCCUUCGGGUCGUAAAGCCCUGUCGGUAGGAACGAAUUCUUCUGGGGCGAAUAACCCCAGGAAAUGACGGUACCUUCAAAGGAAGCACCGGCUAACUCCGUGCCAGCAGCCGCAGUAAGAC